rnacentral:rRNA from 1 species
GAUGAACGCUGGCGGCGUGCUUAACACAUGCAAGUCGAACGGAAAGGCUCCUGCUUGCAGGGGUACUCGAGCGGCGGACGGGUGAGUAACGCGUGGGAACGUGCCCUUUUCUACGGAAUAGUCUCGGGAAACUGAGAGUAAUACCGUAUACGCCCUUUGGGGGAAAGAUUUAUCGGAAAAGGAUCGGCCCGCGUUGGAUUAGGUAGUUGGUGGGGUAAUGGCCUACCAAGCCGACGAUCCAUAGCUGGUUUGAGAGGAUGAUCAGCCACACUGGGACUGAGACACGGCCCAGACUCCUACGGGAGGCAGCAGUGGGGAAUCUUAGACAAUGGGGGCAACCCUGAUCUAGCCAUGCCGCGUGAGUGAUGAAGGCCUUAGGGUUGUAAAGCUCUUUCAGCUGGGAAGAUAAUGACGGUACCAGCAGAAGAAGCCCCGGCUAACUCCGUG